UCGCCCAUUAAAGUGGUACGCGAGCUGGGUUCAGAACGUCGUGAGACAGUUCGGUCCCUAUCCGUCGCAGGCGUAGGAAAUUUGAGAAGACCUGUCCUUAGUACGAGAGGACCGGGAUGGACGUACCGCUGGUGUACCAGUUGUUCUGCCAAGGGCAUGGCUGGGUAGCUAUGUACGGAAUGGAUAAGCGCUGAAAGCAUCUAAGCGCGAAGCCAACUUCAAGAUAAGAUUUCCCACCGCAAGGGUAAGACCCCAGAAAGACUAUCUGGUUGAUAGGUCGAAGGUGUAAGUGCAGCAAUGUAUUUAGCUUAUCGAUACUAAUAGGUCGAGGACUUGAACAAAUU
rnacentral:rRNA from 1 species